UGUGCACACCCAGGGCUAAGUUGGACACACAGAACAAGCCAAAAGAAAGAAUUGGAAAGGGCUUGACGUUCAACCUUCUCUCUCUCACACACACACUCUCUCUUAGAAGAUCCUCUUUCGUAAUCUCGCGCCGCUUCUUCACCGUUCUCGCCUCCGUCGAGCUGCUUCCUCGUAGGUUCCCCGCCGACAGGUACGAUGUCUCCUGCGAUGGAUCCCAAACCAUUCACACGAAGCCCAGACCGUUGAAUUUUCGAGCGUCGUUGGUUCCGCGCGAUGCAGUCCGUCGUCGAGCGCGAUUACUCUAACUACAAGGAGGUUAGCGGCGCAAACAAUGAUGAAGGACUAGCGAUCGCGAAUCUCAGGAUUGCUCUGCAGAUCAUAGAUGCUCUGGCCAAGAAAGGGAUUGCGGAGCUCUUCCCCAUUCAGGUAACGUGUAUUUGUUGUGUUCAUUAGUUUUUGUUUGGAAAAAUUGUGACUUCUUUUUUGUUAAUAAGUUUUCUGCUGUUAAUUAAUGUUGCGAGGUUCAUUAAUAUUUGUCUGACAAGAAGCCAGAAGAAAUUCCCACUGUAAGGCCUAUUAAUUUUUUAAUAGAUAACACAAGUACAUUACACCAUUAAGAUGAGCAGAACAUACAAGAUAACCAAGAGGGAAGUUAUGAAGAGAAGUACAACAAGCAUGAAGACUCAAGCCGCCAGAUUUUGAUUUUGAAGCAGCAAAACAUUGUUGAAACACAAAAUAGAACCAUCCAGGUAAUUUUCAACAUAUACGUGUCUGUCGUUUUUGUGUUCAGACCAAACCCUAGCUCCGCAUCACAACCAUGUCGACCAAGCAAGGUGGAAAAGCUAAGCCUUUGAAGAAACCCAAGUCUGAUAAGAAGGAUUACGAUGAAGUUGACAUGGCUAACAUUCAGAAGAAAAAGGAAGAGGCGAAGGUCAGAUAUUGUAUUGCGCUAAAGGAGUUGAAAGCCAAGGCGCAACAGAAGGGAAGCUUUGAGGUUUUGGGCUCAAGAAAAGUGGAAAGAAAUAAGGGCUCUUUAUCAUGAUUGUAUACAUCCAAUAUUGUGCAGGAUUUGAAAGUUAAAAGUAGGCGCAACCCAACAUUUUAUUUUGAUUGAUGGGACAUGGAGCAAUUCAGCAACAAUGUUUAGGCGCCUUGAGGUUACUUAUAGGGUUUCUGGCAUGGUCGCUUCACCUUCUUCCGCGAUGCUUAAUUUUGGUUGCUACAAUUCUCACUGGUUGAUUUGAUGCAUGCAAAUUCACAAUGCGUUUGUAACCCCUAUUUUGGUUUUAUUAAAGGAGAUUUUGGGUUUUCAAGUUAUUAGGAGCUUGAACACAAGAGUAUAAUAUCAUCAUAUAUCUCAAUAUCUCAUGCUCUCUUCAAAGUUCUGAUCUACGAUUUCAUUUGUUCACUUUGGUGCUUUCUUUAAUAGCAAUUGUUGGGGACAUAACUCCAUUGGAUGGAGGUUCUAAAGCAGAAAAGAAUCAACGAGAACAGGCAACACUAGAUCAUAUGUGUAAAGUACUUGGAGGAGGAUGUACAAGUACUUUCUUUUCACUAUACAUGAGUUUGUUAAUGAGAUAAUAAUGAAAAUUCACAACUCUUGGUCUUUAAAAGCGAUAGUCAGUUUUACUUGUGCCUUGAGGAGGAGGAGGAGUAAUUUUAUACCAAGUUGUUCAGUAUCUUAUCUAAAGUUUGUUGAGUUUGCUUUGGAUGAAACCAAACGUCACACUCACUUGAUCCCUUCGCCUUUACAGGAAAAGUUCAGUUUCAUGAAUUCCAAGGAUGUUAAAGGGAGUCUUAGUAUGCUAUCAUUUGAAGCUACAAAAAUUAGGCUUCUACGAAGAUUGAUCAUUGAGACAGAAACAAUGCAAGUGGUUUUUUUAAUGCCCAUCAAUUAUCAAAUUGAUAUAUGGUUGGUAUCUACUAGUGUCUUAACAAAAUAUGCCUUUGUGUAGUACCUUGUAAUCUAUUACAACAAUAACAAUUUCAAAAUUUGACUUUGUAUUUAUUUGUGCCAA